GGGGAGGUAGCUUAACGGUAAAGCACUCAUCGAGAGAUGAGAAGAUCUUGGAUUUGAGUCCGGGCCUCCCCG
rnacentral:tRNA from 1 species